rnacentral:rRNA from 1 species
UACGUAGGGUGCGAGCGUUGUCCGGAUUUAUUGGGCGUAAAGAGUUCGUAGGUGGUUGCUUAAGUCUGAUGUUAAAUACCGAAGCUUAACUUCGGCAUGGCAUUGGAAACUGGGCGGCUGGAGUCCGUCAGAGGUAACUGGAAUUCCUGGUGUAGCGGUGAAAUGCGUAGAUAUCAGGAGGAACACCCGUGGCGAAAGCGAGUUACUGGGACGGUACUGACACUGAGGAACGAAAGCCUGGGGAGCGAACGGG